rnacentral:rRNA from 1 species
GACGAACGCUGGCGGCGUGCUUAACACAUGCAAGUCGAACGGAAAGGCCCUGCUUUUGUGGGGUGCUCGAGUGGCGAACGGGUGAGUAACACGUGAGUAACCUGCCCUUGACUUUGGGAUAACUUCAGGAAACUGGGGCUAAUACCGGAUAGGAGCUCCUGCUGCAUGGUGGGGGUUGGAAAGUUUCGGCGGUUGGGGAUGGACUCGCGGCUUAUCAGCUUGUUGGUGGGGUAGUGGAUUACCAAGGCUUUGACGGGUAGCCGGCCUGAGAGGGUGACCGGCCACAUUGGGACUGAGAUACGGCCCAGACUCCUACGGGAGGCAGCAGUGGAGAAUAUUGCACAAUGGGCGGAAGCAUGAUGCAGCAACGCCGCGUGCGGGAUGACGGCCUUCGGGUUGUAAACCGCUUUCGCCUGUGACGAAGCGUGAGUGACGGUAAUGGGUAAAGAAGCACCGGCUAACUACGUG